rnacentral:rRNA from 1 species
UUGAACGCUGGCGGCAUGCUUUACACAUGCAAGUCGAACGGCAGCACGGGGGCAACCCUGGUGGCGAGUGGCGAACGGGUGAGUAAUAUAUCGGAACAUAUCCGGAAGUGGGGGAUAACGUAGCGAAAGUUACGCUAAUACCGCAUAUGCCCUGAGGGGGAAAGGGGGGGAUCGCAAGACCUCUCGCUUUCGGAGUGGCCGAUAUCGGAUUAGCUAGUUGGUGAGGUAAAGGCUCACCAAGGCGACGAUCCGUAGCUGGUCUGAGAGGACGACCAGCCACACUGGAACUGAGACACGGUCCAGACUCCUACGGGAGGCAGCAGUGGGGAAUUUUGGACAAUGGGCGCAAGCCUGAUCCAGCCAUGCCGCGUGAGUGAAGAAGGCCUUCGGGUUGUAAAGCUCUUUCAGCCGGGAAGAAAUCGUGGUCUCUAACAUAGGCCAUGGAUGACGGUACCGGACUAAGAAGCACCGGCUAACUACGU